AUGGACCAGGAGAUUCACAGGUGGAAGUGCCGCACGGGUCACCAGUGCGGCUGUUGUGGCCGGCGUGGUUCUUUUGGUCAGCGCGGCUGCUUUGCCCCGCGCGGCUGCUUUGCUGGCGCCCGGGCCAGCAGUUCUCCAUACAAAAUACACUGGUCUGGGUGCCCUUUUGACUGGCGAUUGGAGACCCGGGAACGUGCCAAGGACAGACGGCGCGGUUGGCUCCCCGACAUUCCGACUAAUAAGCACCUCGGCGAAGGAAAGCAAACGCAGGAUGCUCUCGCGCUCCUGAUUGGCUGGUUGGGGACACCUCAAUUAGUGACAGAACGGGGCCGGGCGGGAAAGUCAUCUGUGGCCGGCGGGGACUGGCAGAAGGAACUGAUACUUACUCAUUUUUCCCGGACGUUGGCUGGUGGGGAAGCCAGGCCGUGGCGCUGGAGCGACGCAACCCGCGAUUGCCACGGGAAGGUUAAACGGGGAGGGAGGGGUGGUGCUUUAGGCCCGCUCCGCUGCUGGGGGCCCGCUGGCAAAAGGGGAAGGUGGGGGGGCAGGCGACGGUGGGGAGAUGGGUACCAGAGCCUGCGGCUGGAGUACUUGCAGCUCCCACCGGUCAGCCACGCCUACACCACUGCCUGCAUCCUCACCACCGCAGCCGUGCAGUUGGAAUUGAUCACACCUUUUCAGUUGUACUUUAGUCCCGAAUUUAUCUUUAAACACUUUCAAAUAUGGAGAUUAAUCACCAUUUUCUUAUUUUUGGGGCCAGAUGGAUUCAAUUUUUUUAACAUGAUUUUUCCAUAUGGUUACUGUCGAAUGCUGGAAGAAGGCUCUUUCUGAGGUCGGACAGCAGACUUUGUAUUUAUGUUCCUUUUUGGUGGAUUCUUAAUCUUUUUUGGUUUGUGAGCUUAGUUUUCUUGGGCCAGGCCUUUGCAAUAAUACUCGUCUACGUGUGGUGCCGAAGGAACCCCUAUGUCCGUAUGAACUUCUUCAGCCCUCUCAACUUCCAGGCUCCCUUUCUGCCCUGAAUGCUCAUGGGGUUUUUCUUGUUGUGGAACUCAAUCAUUGUGGACCUUUCGGGUAUUGCAGUUGGACACAUAUAUUUUUUCUUGGAAGAUGUAUUUCCCAAUCAGCCUAGUGGAAUAAGAAUUCUGAAAACACCAUCUAUGUUGAAAGCUAUUUUUGAUACACCAGAUGAGGAUCCAGAUUACAAUCCACUACCUGAAGAACAGCCAGGAGGCUUCACUUGGGGUGAGAGCCAGCGCCUCGAAGGUUAAAGCAGCAGUGCCAAUAAGGAGACCCAGCUGGGAAGGACUCAGUGAUACUCACUGGGAUUAUUUUAUCCCUGUUUGCAAAUGUGUGGACACUUGACAACUUGGCAGAUUUUAACUCCAGGAGCAGUUUAUGAAAUGGCACA